UACAGAGGGUGCAAGCGUUAAUCGGAAUUACUGGGCGUAAAGCGCGCGUAGGUGGUUUGUUAAGUUGGAUGUGAAAUCCCCGGGCUCAACCUGGGAACUGCAUCCAAAACUGGCAAGCUAGAGUAUGGUAGAGGGUGGUGGAAUUUCCUGUGUAGCGGUGAAAUGCGUAGAUAUAGGAAGGAACACCGGUGGCGAAGGCGGCAUCCUGGACCAACACUGACGCUGAGGAGCGAAAGCCAGGGGAGCAAACGGG
rnacentral:rRNA from 1 species